UAUUUGGAGAAGACAUGGCUUUAUGCUC
rnacentral:piRNA from 1 species